rnacentral:lncRNA from 1 species
UUAUGAACGAAAGUGCCACUGUGGGAGUUGUGGGGUCCAGCGCCGAAUGCCAAAGGACUCAGGAGGAGUCUCUCCCACCUGGGCAUUGCUUAAUAGGCAGACAAACUUCACAUGGGCUUUGGAACCAGUACGAGCCCAUGAACUGGUUCCAGCUGUCUUCUGCCACAGCUGGGAAAACUUGCAGGAUGCUGAAAAGGGAAGACAUCCACAGAAGAGAGAGCCUCUGUAGAAGUUCCGGUUGAAGAGAGAUUCCAGCGCUCCCUUGGAUCAAAAAAAAGUUCGGACGCCUCAGAGAGUGCAUGCUCUUUACCAGCUGAACCACCAGGGAAGAAGUUUCAAAUAGCUAUGCACAAUUGAAGAUAUCAGUAAUUGAGAUGGAAAAAGCAUAUCAAAAGAUGUUGAAAGAGUUAUGUUCACUGUGAACAUGGCUUAUUUCUACUCCUUGUCGGGUAUUUCAAAUAUUGGUGACCGUCAAGGUGCUGUAUCAGUAAGGGUUCAGCCAGGAAGGAAGAACCAUGUGGGACAUGGAAUUCUUAUAGGAACUAUAUACAGAGGUCAACAAAUAUUUCCUGUAAAAAAAAAAAAAAAACAGAUUGUAAGUGUUUUUGGCUUUGUGGGUCAAAAGUUCUCUGUAAUAAACUAUCCAACUCUGUUGUACAGUACAAAACAGCUGUAGGCAAUUUUUAAACAAAUAAGCAGAGUUAUUUUGUAAUAGAACUUCAUUAAAACACACACAGGCAGUGGAGCUGUAGUUAGUUUGCCCUUCUCUGCCAUCUCCUGUUGAUUUCUUCUAGUGUAUUUUUCACUUCAAUGAUUGUAUUCUUGACAAACCUAGAUAGUGUAUCAAAAAGUAGAGACAUCACCUUGCUGACAAAGGUCUGUAUAAUCAAAGCUAUGGUUUUUCCAGUAGUCAAGUAUGGAUGUGAAAGUUGGACCAUAAAGAAGGCUGAGCACUGAAGAAUUGAUGCUUUUGAAUUGGGAUCCUUGAGAAGACUCUUGAGAGUCCUUGGACAGCAAGGAGCUCAAACCAGUCAAUCCCAAAGGAAAUCAACC